rnacentral:rRNA from 1 species
GACGAACGCUGGCGGCGUGCUUAACACAUGCAAGUCGAACGGAAAGGCCCCUUUGGGGGUACUCGAGUGGCGAACGGGUGAGUAACACGUGAGUAACCUGCCCUUGACUUCGGGAUAACUUCAGGAAACUGGGGCUAAUACCGGAUAGGAAUCCUUGCUGCAUGGUGGGGGUUGGAAAGCUUCGGCGGUUUUGGAUGGACUCGCGGCUUUUCAGCUUGUUGGUGGGGUAGUGGCUUACCAAGGCUUUGACGGGUAGCCGGCCUGAGAGGGCGACCGGCCACAUUGGGACUGAGAUACGGCCCAGACUCCUACGGGAGGCAGCAGUGGGGAAUAUUGCACAAUGGGCGGAAGCCUGAUGCAGCAACGCCGCGUGCGGGAUGACGGCCUUCGGGUUGUAAACCGCUUUCAGCAGGGGCGAAGCUUUUGUGACGGUACCUGCAGAAGAAGCACCGGCUAACUACGUG